rnacentral:rRNA from 1 species
UACGGAGGGGGCUAGCGUUGUUCGGAAUUACUGGGCGUAAAGCGCACGUAGGCGGCUUUGUAAGUUAGAGGUGAAAGCCCGGAGCUCAACUCCGGAAUUGCCUUUAAGACUGCAUCGCUAGAACGUCGGAGAGGUGAGUGGAAUUCCGAGUGUAGAGGUGAAAUUCGUAGAUAUUCGGAAGAACACCAGUGGCGAAGGCGACUCACUGGACGACUGUUGACGCUGAGGUGCGAAAGCGUGGGGAGCAAACAGGAU